AUAUUUUCUGUGUUGGUGCAAUGUACUCAGGUGAAUAAGAUGCUUGUGAUGUUACUCUGAGUGUAUAUCCACACCGGGCAAGCUUGAAAAAUAUGCCUGACCACGGUGGGAAUCGAACCUAAGCAAGCAUCUUAUUCACCUGAGUACAUUGCAUCAACACAGAAAAUGUCAUUAUUACUA